UUUCCGUAGGUGAACCUGCGGAAGGAUCAUUACAAGAAGAGACCCUAACCGGUCCUCUCAACCCUGCCCAUCGUACCUUUUUUUGUUGUUCCCUCGGCGGUGCUCGCGGGCCCGCCGGCGGGAAGACCAAACAAACCCUUUGCAAACAAGCAUAUCGAAAUCUCUGAUCAAACAUGAAUUGUCACAACUUUCAACAAUGGAUCUCUUGGUUCUG
rnacentral:misc_RNA from 1 species